GUCAGCGACCAUGCUACCCUGAACACGCCUGGUCCUGUGCAAUCUUGGAAGCUAAGCAGGGUUGGGCCUGGUUAGUACUUGGAUGGGAGACCACCUAGGAAGACCAAGUGCUGUAGGUG
ensembl:rRNA 5S_rRNA 5S ribosomal RNA